ensembl:snRNA U6 U6 spliceosomal RNA
GGGUAAAGAUAGAGAAUAUUAGCAUGGCCCCUCCGGAAGUAUGACACACAAAUUUGUGAAGGAUUCAUAUUUUUA